rnacentral:rRNA from 2 species
GGAGCUUGCUCCCUGAAGUCAGCGGCGGACGGGUGAGUAACACGUGGGCAACCUGCCUGUAAGACUGGGAUAACUCCGGGAAACCGGGGCUUAUACCGGAUAAUUCUUUCCCUCACAUGAGGGAAAGCUGAAAGAUGGUUUCGGCUAUCACUUACAGAUGGGCCCGCGGCGCAUUAGCUAGUUGGUGAGGUAACGGCUCACCAAGGCAACGAUGCGUAGCCGACCUGAGAGGGUGAUCGGCCACACUGGGACUGAGACACGGCCCAGACUCCUACGGGAGGCAGCAGUAGGGAAUCUUCCGCAAUGGACGAAAGUCUGACGGAGCAACGCCGCGUGAGUGAUGAAGGUUUUCGGAUCGUAAAACUCUGUUGUUAGGGAAGAACAAGUACCGGAGUAACUGCCGGUACCUUGACGGUACCUAACCAGAAAGCCACGGCUAACUACGUGCCAGCAGCCGCGGUAAUACGUAGGUGGCAAGCGUUGUCCGGAAUUAUUGG